UGGGGGAUAUUGCACAAUGGGCGAAAGCCUGAUGCAGCGACGCCGCGUGGGGGAUGAAGGCCUUCGGGUUGUAAACUUCUUUUGCUCUGAACAAGGCAUGCUAAUGGGUGUGUUGAGUGUAGGGGUUGAUUAGCGCCGGCUAACUACGUGCCAGCAGCCGCGGUAAUACGUAGGGCGCGAGCGUUGUCCGGAAUUAUUGGGCGUAAAGGGCUUGUAGGUGGCUGGUUGCGUCUGUCGUGAAAGCUCAUGGCUUAACUGUGGGUUUGCGGUGGGUACGGGCUGGCUUGAGUGCAGUAGGGGAGGCUGGAAUUCCUGGUGUAGCGGUGGAAUGCGCAGAUAUCAGGAGGAAUACCGGUGGCGAAGGCGGGUCUCUGGGCUGUUACUGACACUGAGGAGCGAAAGCAUAGGGAGCGAACAGG
rnacentral:rRNA from 1 species